GGAGGAGUAGUUGCUGGUGAAGAUGGCGGCAGCUGAGGCCGCGAACUGCAUCAUGGAGGUUUCCUGUGGCCCUGCGGAAACCAGUGAGAAGCCCAAUGCAGAGGACAUGAUGUCCAAAGACUACUACUUUGACUCCUAUGCCCACUUCGGCAUCCACAAGGAGAUGCUGAAGGAUGAAGUGCGGACCCUCACGUACCGCAACUCCAUGUUCCACAACCGGCACCUCUUUAAGGACAAAGUGGUGCUGGAUGUGGGCUCGGGCACGGGGAUCCUCUGCAUGUUCGCUGCCAAGGCAGGAGCCCGAAAGGUCAUCGGGAUCGAGUGUUCCAGUAUCUCUGAUUAUGCCAUGAAGAUCGUCAAAGCCAACAAGUUAGACCACGUGGUGACCAUCAUCAAGGGGAAGGUGGAGGAGGUGGAGCUGCCAGUGGAAAAGGUGGACAUCAUCAUCAGCGAGUGGAUGGGUUACUGUCUCUUCUACGAGUCCAUGCUCAACACUGUGCUCUACGCCCGCGACAAGUGGCUGGCACCCGACGGCCUCAUCUUCCCUGACCGGGCCACGUUGUAUGUGACAGCCAUUGAGGACCGGCAGUACAAAGAUUACAAGAUCCACUGGUGGGAGAAUGUGUAUGGCUUCGACAUGUCCUGCAUCAAGGAUGUGGCCAUCAAGGAGCCCCUGGUGGACGUGGUGGACCCAAAGCAGCUGGUCACCAAUGCCUGCCUCAUAAAGGAGGUGGACAUCUACACUGUCAAGGUGGAAGACCUGACCUUUACCUCCCCAUUCUGCCUGCAAGUGAAGCGGAACGACUAC